UAAUUAUCUAGGAGGUCUAGCCAGCAUUGGAAGGGUUAUUUUAACUGUCAGCUAAACUUUACGACCUUAUGCUGCACUCUGAGGAAUUCUGUUCUUCUGUGAAAAGUUUCACUUUCAGUCUGUGUUAAAGAUAGUCAUAAAUAAAGUCUUGACAGGAAAUGCUAUUUAGCCAUUGAAACGUAAUACCCAUUCCUUUGUAUUGCAU